CCCCCACACUCCGUCCGCACCUGCCUCAGUUCCUCACCUCUGCCUCUCUCGCACGUCUGCGUCGCCGCUCCCUCUCACCUAGAUCCCAUCCCCUCUGCAUCGCCGGCCCCUCGCUCUCGCCCAGAUCCCGCUCCCAAUCCGGCGCCGCCGCUCCCUACACCGACCUCCGCCGCCGUCGCUGCUGCCUCCGCCGCCGGCCUCUUAUUCUCCACCUCGCCUCCGCCGCGGCCGGGAUCCACGGAUCCACCUCGUCUUCGACCGCGGCCGGGAUGGCGUCGGCCCCAGAAUGGCAUUACGCGGGGGAGAUCCGCCCGCCCGGGCUUCCCGGUAACCGAGUUCAGCUCAAGUGACGAGUAGCGGCAUCGUUUGUCCGCAGGCUUCCGCUCGGGAUUGAGUUUCUUAAUUGCAGAUGAGUUAACCAAAUAACCUUGUCCAGGGUAAGUAAGGAUUAUUGCCAUUAUCAAGACGGAUCAAGAAGAAAUUGAGCUAUUGUGCUUGCCAAGUGUUCAAAUUUUUGCACCUUCUAAGCCUUGAUCAUUUACAUCACGGAAAUACGGUCAAGGUUGAUCUUCAUUUUGAAUUCUAUGGUUCAGCAAAGUCUGCCAAGUCGGAGAUUGAUUUUGGUCACCACGUCUGCAAUUUGAGAUAAGGCUUGGUACUGAGAUGGUAACUUAAUUGUGCGAUUGGUGCAGGUCGAUGGAAUGGAUAUUCUUGCUGUGAAACAAGCUUGCAAAUUUGACAAAGAUCAUGUCCUUGAAAAUUGAAUGGAUACUUGUGUCUAACUUCUUGAUUCUCAUCUGCAGUGGACAAAAAAGAAUGUACUAAGCACUGCUGCUAGCCUGAAAAUUGAAUGUAAUAACUGUGCUGAAAGUUGGACAUUCCUAAGAUCAAGAAGACUUACUGAAAUAACAAGGUGUGCAGGAGGCACACUCUGCAAAAGGCAACUCAGUAUAAGAAGGGUAAGGAUAUGGUGGUCAGAGUCAGACCAAGCCUGUCUUCCAGAAGAAGGCCAAGACCACCAAGAAGAUUGUGCUGAAGCUGCAGUGCCAGAGCUGCAAAGGACUACUCACAAUACCCGAUCAAGGGGCCUAUGAUACUGAGGAGCAGCUGCUCAUGCAUAUGAGCCACCUAGUGAAAGACUGAAACCUUUGUUUUCAGUAUUUGAAGUUACAUAAUUAGUGGGGUAUUCAGGCGUGCAAACACUGAUAUUCAUUUUAAAGACUAUAUUAUUCCAAAGGGCUGCAAAAUAUUUGCUUCAUUCCGAGCUGUGCACCUUAAUACUGAACACUAUGAGAAUGCUCCGACCUUUGAUCCUUGGAGAUGGCAGGUACAUUAGGUUCCGGUUACCCUUAUGGAGUUAUGGUCAAAGUAAGAGUAAUCAUAGAUAAGAAAAGUAUCCCCAAUAGUUAGUGGAAUUUUCUUCCUUUUUUAGUCCCUUUUAUCUGUAACUUGGUACAAACAGCAGUCGGCAAACUCUGCUUUGCUUGUAAAAUGACCCAAAAACUGCUAUGCAAUGCGUACUGGUUACAGGUAACAUUUUGCUGUGCAUAUCCUAAGAUCUUGCUAGUCAUUUA